rnacentral:lncRNA from 1 species
AAGAUGCUGAAGCUGUUCAGAAAUUCUUCCUUGAAGAGAUACAGCUUGGUGAAGAGUUAUAAGCACAAGGUGACUAUGAGAAGGGUGUGGACCACGUGACAAAUGCAAUCGCUGUGUGUGGACAGCCUCAGCAGUUGCUGCAAGUGUUACAACAGACUCUUCCACCACCAGUGUUCCAGAUGCUUCUGACCAAGCUUCCAAACAUUAGUCAGAGAAUUAUCAGUGCUCAGAGCUUGGCUGAAGAUGAUGUGGAAUGAGCCAGACAGCAACAUGAUAAAAUCUCAGUAAAAUAAUUUAACAGUUAGCUUGGAGGCUGAUCUGCUCUCGGGGAAUAAGGGCAAAUUGUGCUUGUCAUGAACUGUCCCACACUGACAUCUCCAAAGUGAACGUGAACUUUUGUAGAGCCAUUGUCUGUUCUAUUUAUUUUUCCAGUGAGAAGUAUUUUGAUAGCUUUUCAUUUUAUAAAUACACUGCGUUAACCAAAAGAUCAUGGAUUUCGUUUGUUCUUAAGACAUGCAGUUCAAUGUAAAUAGAGUAGUAUUGCUUAGGUAGAGACUCCUGGUGAUUUUAAAGGAUUGGAAAAGACUGAGGAAUAGUUGAAUAAUGCACAUUUUAAAGACUAGAACAUUUUAUUGUACGUUGUAAAAUUGAGUAGAAACUUAUGUUUGUGAAAACUGAGCAUUAAAACCUUACAGAGACUGUCUCUUGUUUACUUUAAAAAAUAAUUAAA